UAGAGGUACGCGAGCUGGGUUUAGAACGUCGUGAGACAGUUCGGUCCCUAUCUACCGUGGGCGCUGGAAAUUUGAGAGGAUCUGCUCCUAGUACGAGAGGACCAGAGUGGACGAACCUCUGGUGUACCGGUUGUGACGCCAGUCGCAUCGCCGGGUAGCUAUGUUCGGAAGGGAUAACCGCUGAAAGCAUCUAAGCGGGAAGCCUACCUCAAGAUAAGAUUUCCCUAGGACUUUAUGUCCUCUAAAGAGCCGUUCGAGACUAGGACGUUGAUAGGUUGGAUGUGGAAGCAUAGUGAUAUGUGAAGCUGACCAAUACUAAUUGCUCGUGAGGCUUGACUAU
rnacentral:rRNA from 1 species